GUAAGAGCAGUGUUUUUAUCUUUAGAGGAGAAUGAGAGAGUGUGUCAAUGUGUGUAUGAGAGAGAGAGGGAGAGAGAGAGGGAGAGAGGGAGAGAGUGUAACGGAGCAGCAUUGAGUACAAAUAGAAUUAUAUCGUGAUCCGAUUAUACUUCAAAGAAAUAACUGCAAUACAGCACACGGUCUCCUCUGGUUUUAAUGCACCGUUGCCCGUCGGUGGAGGAUGCAGGCUAAAGCUCGGCACACAUGAAGCCCAUUUACCGUCAUCCUCGCAUCUGUUCUCACUAAUCCCCUCCAGACGUAACAAUAUGUUCUCCAAUAAGAUUAUGAUUGCUCAAUAAGCCUUAUCUAUGUAAUUCAGAAAACAUAUACCGCUUUAAACCAGCUCGCUAGAUUAGAGCAGUUUGGAGCUAAUCUGGAGUCAGUCUGGAGUCAAUCUGUGCUGCU
ensembl:lncRNA